AGCGAACGCUGGCGGCGUGCCUAACACAUGCAAGUCGAACGUGAAAGGGAGCAAUCCCACGUAAAGUGGCGUACGGGUGAGUAACACGUAGGUAAUCUACCCCAGAAUCUGGAAUAACCGGCCGAAAGGCUGGCUAAUACUGGAUAGAGCGACGGAAUCCGUAAUUGGGUUUUUCGGGAAAGGGAGCCUGUAAAAAGGCCUUCGUUCUGGGAUGAGCCUGCGUCCCAUCAGCUAGUUGGUGAGGUAAAAGCUUACCAAGGCAAUGACGGGUAGCUGGUCUGAGAGGACGAUCAGCCACACUGGAACUGAAACACGGUCCAGACUCCUACGGGAGGCAGCAGUGGGGAAUCUUGCGCAAUGGACGAAAGUCUGACGCAGCAACGCCGCGUGAGUGAAGAAGGCCUUCGGGCUGUAAAGCUCUGUCGAGUGGGGCGAAAAUGCUUGGAGUUCACAGCUCCAGGAACUGACGGUACCACUAAAGGAAGCACCGGCUAACUCCGUG
rnacentral:rRNA from 1 species